AGCGAACGCUGGCGGCAGGCCUAACACAUGCAAGUCGAACGAACUCUUCGGAGUUAGUGGCGGUCGGGUGAGUAACACGUGGGAACGUGCCUUUUGGUUCGGAAUAACUCAGGGAAACUUGUGCUAAUACCGAAUGUGCCCUUCGGGGGAAAGAUUUAUCGCCAUUGGAGCGGCCCGCGUCUGAUUAGCUAGUUGGUGAGGUAACGGCACACCAAGGCGACGAUCAGUAGCUGGUCUGAGAGGAUGACCAGCCACGCUGGGACUGAGACACGGCCCAGACUCCUACGGGAGGCAGCAGUGGGGAAUCUUGCGCAAUGGGCGAAAGCCUGACGCAGCCAUGCCGCGUGAAUGAUGAAGGGCUUAGGAUUGUAAAAUUCUUUCACCGGGGACGAUAGUGACGGUACCCGGAGAAGAAGCCCCGGCUAACUUCGUG
rnacentral:rRNA from 1 species